rnacentral:tRNA from 1 species
CCGACCUUAGCUCAGUUGGUAGAGCGGUGGACUGUAGUGGGUUAUCCGCAUCCAUCCAUAGGUCGCUGGUUCAAAUCUGGCAGAUUGGA